GUGCUGGCUUUGGCAGCACACAAGCUAAAUGGAAACUAUUCAGAGAAGACUGGCGUGCCCCACGUAGGAUAAUGCGCAAAUCCAUGAAGUGUUUAAAA
rnacentral:snRNA from 1 species